UAAAGUUGUUCUAGUUUUGUAACUAAAAUGGUUUGGCAGUGAGCGAUUCUUAUUAGGGGAAUAUGCAUAGUGAAGGAUGGUCCACCUAUUAGUUUACUCUUUUUAUGUUGGUGUAUGUCUGGUUUGAUAUUAUUGUUGAAUAAUUUAAGUUUGUGUAGUUUUAGUUAAGCUAAGUCUAUGUGCUGCUUAUUGGAGUUUUUGUGUGUUACAUUAAUAAGGGUGUUAUUGUAAGAUGAUGUGAUUUAGGACUUAA
rnacentral:rRNA from 1 species